AGAGUUUGAUCCUGGCUCAGAGCGAACGCUGGCGGCAGGCUUAACACAUGCAAGUCGAGCGGGCGUAGCAAUACGUCAGCGGCAGACGGGUGAGUAACGCGUGGGAACGUACCUUUUGGUUCGGAACAACACAGGGAAACUUGUGCUAAUACCGGAUAAGCCCUUACGGGGAAAGAUUUAUCGCCGAAGGAUCGGCCCGCGUCUGAUUAGCUAGUUGGUGAGGUAAUGGCUCACCAAGGCGACGAUCAGUAGCUGGUCUGAGAGGAUGAUCAGCCACAUUGGGACUGAGACACGGCCCAAACUCCUACGGGAGGCAGCAGUGGGGAAUAUUGGACAAUGGGCGCAAGCCUGAUCCAGCCAUGCCGCGUGAGUGAUGAAGGCCCUAGGGUUGUAAAGCUCUUUUGUGCGGGAAGAUAAUGACGGUACCGCAAGAAUAAGCCCCGGCUAACUUCGUGCCAGCAGCCGCGGUAAUACGAAGGGGGCUAGCGUUGCUCGGAAUCACUGGGCAUAAAGGGUGCGUAGGCGGGUCUUUAAGUCAGGGGUGAAAUCCUGGAGCUCAACUCCAGAACUGCCUUUGAUACUGAGGAUCUUGAGUUCGGGAGAGGUGAGUGGAACUGCGAGUGUAGAGGUGAAAUUCGUAGAUAUUCGCAAGAACACCAGUGGCGAAGGCGGCUCACUGGCCCGAUACUGACGCUGAGGCACGAAAGCGUGGGGAGCAAACAGGAUUAGAUACCCUAGUAGUCC
rnacentral:rRNA from 1 species